rnacentral:misc_RNA from 1 species
GAUGAAGAACGUAGCGAAAUGCGAUACGUAAUGUGAAUUGCAGAAUUCAGUGAAUCAUCGAAUCUUUGAACGCAUAUUGCGCUCUCUGGUAUUCCGGAGAGCAUGCUUGUUUGAGUAUCAGUAAACACCUCAACUUCCAUAUCUUUUUUGAAAUGGGAGUUGGACUUGAGUGAUCCCAACGCUUUUCCUCACCGAAAAGUGGCGGGUUACUUGAAAUGCAGGUGCAGCUGGACUUUUCUCUGAGCUAUAAGCAUAUCUAUUUAGUCUGCCUAAAAACAGAUUAUUACCUUUGCUGCAGCUAACAUAAAGGAGAUUAGUUCUUGUGCUGACUGAUGCAGGAUUCACAAAGACAGGCUUCGGCCGACUUUGUAAACUCGAUCUCAAAUCAAGUAAGCCUACCCGCUGAACUUAAGCAUAUCAAUAAGCGGAGGA